UCGUUCAACACACAAGAAAAUUAAAAAUUUCAAAAUUGCUUAUCUCAAUACAACUAUCAAUGUCGCUUUAUCUCAUUGACAUAAUUUUUUAUACAGGCAAAAUCGUUAAAUAUUGAAAAAGAAAUACACACCGUAAAUAAUUACGGCUAUGCCGUAAGUGUUAAGUUUUUUUAAAACGACUCUGCAUGAUACAGAAAAUUAAAAAAAUUCAAAACUGUCUAUGUCAGAUAAUAAUGAAUGUCGCUUUCAUCCCAUUGAGGAAAUUUUUUACCGAUAAUAUCGUUAAAUAUUGAAAAGGAAAUACACAUUGCAAAUGAUUAAGCCACCUGAAAGAGUUCAGUUUUCUCAAAAAAGACAAACUCAAUAUGGAAGCAUAAAAUACAGUUAUAAUAGAACUUAUUAAAACAAUAAGAGUAUUAUCACAUCAAAUCAUUGAAAUUUUAGCGAUAAAGAUGAUAAAAGGUAAAAGAACAAAAAGAUAAAAUAUUGAAAUAUUUAUAAGUAUUUCACACACAUCUGGACAGGACAGUAAUUAUUCCUGCAAUGUGUCUAAAGAUUGUUAUAUAAAUGACGUGAGUGUAAGUCAUUAAUUGUCCGUUGGAAGGUAGAACAUUCAAUCACAAGAAAAGGCGCACGUUUUAAUUAUAUAGAAAAGAUAAUCAAUUAGGAAGAAUGUUCGUCAAAAACAUGCAAGUCUGUUUUAUAACAGUUGUACUGUUAACGAUGGAGCUGGCGUUGCAGCCGGCACCUGCAAAUGUGUAGCAAUGUGGCACACUUGUUUCUUGUCAUGUGGCGACGCAAGUCAAAGGAUCGUUUGCUCUGAUUGUUCUUACGGUAGAAGUUUAUGCUUCGACAAGUGCUUUAGAAGACAACAAGACUCCAUGAGUUCAUUUGAUGACGGUAAUGAAGACAAUUUAGUCCAUGUAAAAUAAACUCAUAUCUGACAUGUAAUUAAUGAUAAUCAAACUACGAUGAUAACUUAAGAAAUAGAACUAUAUGAUGAUAAUAAAUAAUGUUUGGAAAUUGUAAAACUGACGUUUAGAAAUAAAGGCGACAGAAUCGAUUGUGUAAAAGCAACAA